AGCUUGAUGGGCUCCAGAGGGAGGAUACUGGAAGUAACUCCCAGGAGUGAUUCUCUCCCCCAUCACACACAGAAAAGAUUAAUGAUAGAUGGAACCAGAGAGAAAGAUAUAAUUGGGAACUUGAUAAAAAGAUGGAGGUGGUUUAAGAGCCAAGAACUGCUUCAAUGUCCUCCCUACCCUGAUGACUGUAAAGGGCAGGAGUGUCAGAGACCAAGCCCUACUCAAAGAGCACUAUUAGAUCCUUUGCUUCGCUGUAUUUAUACCCACAUAUUGGAUCUUUCCUGUUUUAUUUUGUUUUUUUCCUUCUCAAUUAAAAAUGAAAAUGAAUUAAAUAGUUUUUGGCCAGUCGUUGUCAGAUUGAUGGCGCCACCGUAAAUAUCAGUUGUAGACUUCAUUUUCGGGAGGCACAGAUGCGUGCAUGAAUAUCCUUCUCCUCCCACCUCCCAAUUUGCGAAAACCCAGCUCCAAAA
rnacentral:misc_RNA from 1 species